UAAAUCUUUAUUAAAGCACUGGAUAAAUAUUAUGUUAUUAUUCAUUAUUUGGAUUUAACUAGGUGGCUCAGUGGAUAGAGAGCCAGCCAUGGAGAAGGGAAGUCCUGGCUUCUGGUCUCAAACACUUCCUGGUGGUGUGACCCUGGACAAGUCACUUGACUCCCAUUGCCUAGUCCUUACUCACCUUCUGCCUUGGAACUAAUAUGCAGUAUUGAUUCUUAGAUGGAAGUUCUUGGCUGUCUGUAGGAACAAUCUCAAAAUCUUCACUUUCCUUUGUGCUACCCAAAACAGCCUCGGAACCAGUGUGUACAUUCUUUGUAGGAAGCAUUUUGUUUUUGAAAUUUCAACUGGUUCUAAUCAAGUUUCAUGUUGACUUUAAUCUUUGGAUUACAACAAAUUGAUGUACUUGAAUGUGCACAGAGUGGUGAUUCAGCCAAGCAUUCUGGGAAAGUCAGUAAGGAGAUUGUCCGAAAAUAUUGUCAUCAGGACCAGCAGAUUUCCCACACCCAGAAAAACACAUAUCCUUGAAGUAUUAAACAUAAGUAAAGAAAUUGAGGCUUAGAGAGGUAAAUGGGCAAGAAAGAGAUCCUGAGGCACUUUCUAGAGAACUUUGGGGAUGCCAAUAACUUUGAGAUAUCUGUGUGAAGAAGAAAAAAAGCUUCCCUAAUGACUGACUGCUUCCCAGGAGUCUAUUAUCCUAUGUUCUUUUAAAGUACCAAAGUAUAUUAAAAAAAAAAAGAAUACUCACAUGGGAUAGUGGAAAAUGCCCUGGCUUAGAACAAAGGUUCUUAACCUAAUGUUCAUGGAUUCAUAAGAGUAUCUGUGGAUAGAUUUCAGAGUCUGUGAACUUGAAUGAGAAAAAAAUUUUCAUCUUUAUUUUCAUUAGCCUUUAGUUGCCUUUGUAAUCCUUUGUACUUUAUGUUAUGCAUUUAAAAUUCUGAGAAAGGGGUCUGACACAUGAAAAGGACAAAGUUGGUAUUUAAUAAAUAUUAACUGAGUGAAAUAUAAAAAUAUAAA
rnacentral:lncRNA from 1 species